AGUGAACGCUGGCGGUAGGCCUAACACAUGCAAGUCGAACGGCAGCACAGUAAGAGCUUGCUCUUACGGGUGGCGAGUGGCGGACGGGUGAGGAAUACAUCGGAAUCUACUUUUUCGUGGGGGAUAACGUAGGGAAACUUACGCUAAUACCGCAUACGACCUACGGGUGAAAGCAGGGGAUCUUCGGACCUUGCGCGAUUGAAUGAGCCGCUGUCGGAGUAGCUAGUUGGCGGGGUAAAGGCCCACCAAGGCGGCGAUCCGUAGCUGGUCUGAGAGGCUGGUCGGCCACACUAGAGCUUGGACACGGUCCUGGGUCCUACGAGAGGCAGCAGUGGGGAAUGUUGGACAAUGGUCGCAAGCCUGAUCCAGCCAUACCGCGUGGGUGAAGAAGGCCUUCGGGUUGUAAAGCCCGUUUGUUGGGAAAGAAAAGCAGCAGGUUAAGACCCCGCUGUUCUGACGGUACCCAAAGAAUAAGCACCGGCUAACUUCGUG
rnacentral:rRNA from 1 species